CGAGCUGUCUUGCUGGCCUCCCCUCCAGGAGGCAUGUGCACGCCCGUCAAACGUUUCAUUCAUCCCUUUCCACCUGUGCACACACUGUAGGUCGGAAAUCCCCCCUGCCUCGACGAACAGAGGUUUUUUGGGGGGCCUCCUUCCGGUCCUACGUCUCACAUCCUACCCCACUACGAAUGUGAUACGAAUGUAACGAUCUAGGCCUCCGCGCCUAAUAAACACAAUACAACUUUCAACAACGGAUCUCUUGGCUCUCGCAUCGAUGAAGAACGCAGCGAAAUGCGAUAAGUAAUGUGAAUUGCAGAAUUCAGUGAAUCAUCGAAUCUUUGAACGCACCUUGCGCUCCUUGGUAUUCCGAGGAGCAUGCCUGUUUGAGUGUCAUAAAUCUCUCAACUCCCUCCAGUUUGUCUGGUAGGGGCCGUUGGAUCUUGGGGGUCUGUCGGCUCUUGUGGGUCGACUCCCCUGAAAAGCAUUAGCAGUCGUGCUGUCUGCCGCCGGUGUGAUAGUUAUCUAUGCCGUCUGGUCCAGCGUAUGCGUUGUCUGCUCCGAACAGUCCGAACAGUCGGACAACACAAAUUGACCACUUGACCUCAAAUCAGGUAGGACUACCCGCUGAACUUAA
rnacentral:rRNA from 1 species